rnacentral:misc_RNA from 1 species
GAUGAAGAACGCAGCGAAAUGUGAUAAGUAGUGUGAAUUGCAGAAUUCAGUGAAUCAUCGAAUCUUUGAACGCACAUUGCGCCCCUCGGUAUUCCGUGGGGCAUGCCUGUUCGAGCGUCAUUUACCCCUCAAGCACUGCUUGGUGUUGGGCGUCUGUCCCGCUUCGCGCGCGGACUCGCCCCAAAGGUAUUGGCAGCGGUCGUGCCAGCUUCUCGCGCAGCACAUUGCGCUUCUCGAGGCGGUCGAUCGGCGUCCACGAAGCUCACCUCCACCGUUUGACCUCGGAUCAGGUAGGGAUACCCGCUGAACUUAAGCAUAUCAAUAAGCGGAGGA